AGACGGAGGGUGCAAGCGUUAAUCGGAAUUACUGGGCGUAAAGCGCUCGUAGGCGGCCUGUUAAGUCGGAUGUGAAAGCCCCGGGCUCAACCUGGGAACUGCAUUCGAAACUGGCAGGCUAGAGUAUAGUAGAGGCAAGUGGAAUUCCGGGUGUAGCGGUGAAAUGCGUAGAUAUCCGGAGGAACAUCAGUGGCGAAGGCGACUUGCUGGACUAAUACUGACGCUGAGGAGCGAAAGCGUGGGGAGCAAACAGGAGUAGAUACCCCAGUAGUCC
rnacentral:rRNA from 1 species